UUUGUGUUGUAGUCAGAGUUGUGGUGGGGGCUGGUCAUUUGUUUGUGUUAGCGGACUCCAUUUCUAACCAAAUGUUAGCUAUCGUUGCACACUAUCGGCCCUGUAGCGGAGCUGAAGAGAUUAAAGGCACUCGCAAGUCACAUCCGCUGAUAGAGGAAACCCAGAAAGUCGCAGAAGGUUUCAUUUUUUAGGUUAGGU